rnacentral:rRNA from 1 species
AUUGAACGCUGGCGGCAGGCCUAACACAUGCAAGUCGAGCGGAUGACGGGAGCUUGCUCCUUGAUUCAGCGGCGGACGGGUGAGUAAUGCCUAGGAAUCUGCCUGGUAGUGGGGGACAACGUUUCGAAAGGAACGCUAAUACCGCAUACGUCCUACGGGAGAAAGCAGGGGACCUUCGGGCCUUGCGCUAUCAGAUGAGCCUAGGUCGGAUUAGCUAGUUGGUGGGGUAAUGGCUGACCAAGGCGACGAUCCGUAACUGGUCUGAGAGGGUGAUCAGUCACACUGGAACUGAGACACGGUCCAGACGCCUACGGGGGGCAGCAGUGGGGAAUAUUGGACAAGGGGCGAAAGCCUGAUCCAGCCAUGCCGCGUGUGUGAAGAAGGUCUUCGGAUUGUAAAGCACUUUAAGUUGGGAGGAAGGGCAGUAAGCUAAUACCUUGCUGUUUUGACGUUACCGACAGAAUAAGCACCGGCUAACUCUGUGCCAGCCGCCGCCGUAAAAC